rnacentral:rRNA from 1 species
UACAGAGGUCUCAAGCGUUGUUCGGAUUCAUUGGGCGUAAAGGGUGCGUAGGUGGCGCCGUAAGUCAGGUGUGAAAUUUCGGAGCUUAACUCCGAAACUGCAUUUGAUACUGCGGUGCUUGAGGACUGGAGAGGAGACUGGAAUUCAUGGUGUAGCAGUGAAAUGCGUAGAGAUCAUGAGGAAGACCAGUGGCGAAGGCGGGUCUCUGGACAGUUCCUGACACUGAGGCACGAAGGCCAGGGGAGCAAAACGGG